rnacentral:rRNA from 1 species
GUGCACCAGGCGCGAAACCUCCGCAAUGCGGGAAACCGCGACGGGGGACCCCGAGUGCCGUGGCAACGCCACGGCUUUUCCGGAGUGUAAAAAGCUCCGGGAAUAAGGGCUGGGCAAGGCCGGUGGCAGCCGCCGCGGUAAUACCGGCGGCCCGAGUGGUGGCCGCUAUUAUUGGGGCCUAAAGCGUCCGUAGCCGGGCCCGUAAGUCCCUGGCGAAAUCCCACGGCUCAACCGUGGGGCUUGCUGGGGAUACUGCGGGUCUUGGGACCGGGAGAGGCGGGGGGUACCCCUGGGGUAGGGGUGAAAUCCGUAUAAUCCCAGGGGGACCGCCAGUGGCGAAGGCGCCCCGCUGGAACGGGUCCGACGGUGAGGGACGAAGGCCAGGGGAGCAAACCGGGA